CCCCAGAGAUGUUACAGAUGUGGCUGCUGUGUUGCAUUUGUGUUAUUGGGUGUCUACACUCAGGGUUCUGACGCAUGAACGUUUGAAUGAUUAAUAGUCUGACACU